rnacentral:rRNA from 1 species
GACGAACGCUGGCGGCGUGCUUAACACAUGCAAGUCGAACGGAAAGGCCCUGCUUUUGUGGGGUGCUCGAGUGGCGAACGGGUGAGUAACACGUGAGUAACCUGCCCUUGACUUUGGGAUAACUUCAGGAAACUGGGGCUAAUACCGGAUAGGAGCUCCUGCUGCAUGGUGGGGGUUGGAAAGUUUCGGCGGUUGGGGAUGGACUCGCGGCUUAUCAGCUUGUUGGUGGGGUAGUGGCUUACCAAGGCUUUGACGGGUAGCCGGCCUGAGAGGGUGACCGGCCACAUUGGGAUUGAGAUACGGCCCAGACUGCUACGGGAGGCAGCAGUGUGGAAUAUUGCACAAUGGGCGGAAGCCUGAUGCAGCAACGCCGCGUGCGGGAUGACGGCCUUCGGGUUGUAAACCGCUUGCGCCUGUGACGAAGCGUGAGUGACGGUAAUGGGUAAAGAAGCACCGGCUAACUACGUG